rnacentral:piRNA from 1 species
UCUGCCUAGUUCUGUGGCAAUAGUUGCCCUGU